rnacentral:rRNA from 1 species
UGCCAGCCGCCGCGGUAAUACUGAGGGUGCAAGCGUUAAUCGGAAUUACUGGGCGUAAAGCGAGUGUAGGCGGCUAUAUAAGUCGGAUGUGAAAUCCCCGGGCUCAACCUGGGAAUUGCAUUCGAUACUGUAUAGCUAGAGUUUGAUAGAGGUAAGUGGAAUUCCGGGUGUAGCGGUGAAAUGCGUAGAUAUCCGGAGGAACAUCAGUGGCGAAGGCGGCUUACUGGAUCAAAACUGACGCUGAGGCUCGAAAGCGUGGGGAGCAAACAGGAUUAGAUA